rnacentral:rRNA from 1 species
UGGCGGACGGGUGAGUAACGCGUAAGAACCUGCCCUUAGAGGGGGACAACAGCUGGAAACGGUUGCUAAUACCCCAUAAGCUGAGGAGCAAAAGGAGGAAUCCACCUAAGGAGGGGCUUGCGCCUGAUUAGCUAGUUGGUGAGGCAAAGGCUUACCAAGGCGACGAUCAGUAGCUGGUCUGAGAGGAUGAUCAGCCACACUGGGACUGAGACACGGCCCAG